CAGAAACUCAAGCAGAGAUAGGCUGUCCAGCUCCUCCAGUAAGGCAGGCUCUCACCCGGUGGAGGGCUGGGUGGAGUUGCUGACUGAACCAGACUCUCAGAAGACAGAAAGCAAAAAUGAGAAAGGCACUUACAGAUGGAAUUUAAAGCUGGUGAGCAAUUCCAGAUGUAACCACCUUCAAAAGGCGCUGGGAAUACCGCAGCCCCCUCAGCCCCA
rnacentral:lncRNA from 1 species